AGGUCUUGGGAUAUUUGAGGUUAAACGUCUUUGGGUUUGAAUAGUACUGGGCUGGGUGACCUCCCGGGAAGUUCAAACUCAAGAGUUU
rfam:Selaginella moellendorffii unplaced genomic scaffold SELMOscaffold_42, whole genome shotgun sequence.